rnacentral:rRNA from 1 species
GACGAACCGUGCGAACGUUGUUCGGAAUCACUGGCUUAAAGGGCGCGUAGGCGGCUUGCCAAGUCAGGGGUGAAAUCCUCCAGCUCAACUGGAAGAAGUGCCUUUGAUACUGGCGAGCUCGAGGGAGGUAGGGGGUGUGUGGAACUUCUGGUGGAGCGGUGAAAUGCGUUGAUAUCAGAAGGAACGCCGGUGGCGAAAGCGACGCACUGGACCUCUUCUGACGCUGAGGCGCGAAAGCUAGGGGAGCAAACGGG